rnacentral:rRNA from 1 species
GUAACAGGUCUUCGGAUGCUGACGAGUGGCGAACGGGUGAGUAAUACAUCGGAACGUGCCUAGUAGUGGGGGAUAACUACUCGAAAGAGUAGCUAAUACCGCAUGAGAUCUACGGAUGAAAGCAGGGGACCUUCGGGCCUUGUGCUACUAGAGCGGCUGAUGGCAGAUUAGGUAGUUGGUGGGGUAAAGGCUUACCAAGCCUGCGAUCUGUAGCUGGUCUGAGAGGACGACCAGCCACACUGGGACUGAGACACGGCCCAGACUCCUACGGGAGGCAGCAGUGGGGAAUUUUGGACAAUGGGCGAAAGCCUGAUCCAGCAAUGCCGCGUGCAGGAUGAAGGCCCUCGGGUUGUAAACUGCUUUUGUACGGAACGAAAAGCCUGGGGCUAAUACCCCCGGGUCAUGACGGUACCGUAAGAAUAAGCACCGGCUAACUACGUGCCAGCAGCCGCGGUAAUACGUAGGGUGCAAGCGUUAAUCGGAAUUACUGGGCGUAAAGCGUGCGCAGGCGGUUUUGUAAGACAGUGGUGAAAUCCCCGGGCUCAACCUGGGAACUGCCAUUGUGACUGCAAGGCUAGAGUGCGGCAGAGGGGGAUGGAAUUCCGCGUGUAGCAGUGAAAUGCGUAGAUAUGCGGAGGAACACCGAUGGCGAAGGCAAUCCCCUGGGCCUGCACUGACGCUCAUGCACGAAA